UACGAAGGGGGCUAGCGUUGCUCGGAAUCACUGGGCGUAAAGCGCACGUAGGCGGAUCGUUAAGUCGGGGGUGAAAUCCUGGAGCUCAACUCCAGAACUGCCUUCGAUACUGGCGAUCUUGAGUCCGGAAGAGGUGAGUGGAACUCCUAGUGUAGAGGUGGAAUUCGUAGAUAUUAGGAAGAACACCAGUGGCGAAAGGCGGCUCACUGGUCCGGUACUGACGCUGAGGUGCGAAAGCGUGGGGAGCAACAGGAUUAAGAUACCCGUGA
rnacentral:rRNA from 1 species